ACACGCCAUCCGGGAGAGAACGGAUGUCCGUCGCCGAAGGAGCAACCGCCCCGGUCACUCUCAGGCAAAAGGACCGGUUGGGGUGC
rfam:Loktanella vestfoldensis SKA53 scf_1099451320118 genomic scaffold, whole genome shotgun sequence.